UAUGCUCUUGAAGCACCUGUGCCAGA
rnacentral:piRNA from 1 species